GACAGAGGUGCCGAGCGUUAGGCGGAAUCACUGGGCUUAAAGCGCGUGUAGGCGGGCCGUUAAGUGCCCCGUGAAAUCCCCCGGCUCAACCGGGGAACUGCGGGGCAUACUGGCGGCCUUGAGAGGCCUAGGGGUCAGUGGAACAGGCGGUGGAGCGGUGAAAUGCGUAGAUAUCGCCUGGAACGCCGGCGGCGAAAGCGACUGACUGGGGGCCUUCUGACGCUGAGACGCGAAAGCCAGGGGAGCGAACGGG
rnacentral:rRNA from 1 species